UGGCCAUAAUUCAGACCACCAAUAUAUAUAAGAAAGCAAUUAAUGUUUUUGUUUGGUCUUUGGUGAUCCAUUAAUAAUCAACUAUUUCCGCUAUGCGAACUGCCCCUCUCAAACCGGAAACUGCGCCAACCAACUAAGUAAACUAACAACAAAAUGAGAGAACUUUGGAACAAAAAGAAAAGUUUCCAACACACAAUAAAAAAAACUAUAACACAAUUGGUAAAAAAAAUAAAAAGGAUGAACAAGGAAAUUUUGUAAAGAAAUUGAAAGAAAUUUGUAAUGUCAAUGCAAUAUCUCCUUAAAAUAUUUCCUUUGAGUUGAGUUUUCUAACAAGCAGUUUUUGACUCUCUCGUAAGGUGAUGUGCAAUCCAAUGAAUUUGUUAGAUACGUGUACAAUAGAUCCGCGCAUAUCGGAAGCUUUACUACGCUGGGAGACUUUUUGUGUAUGUUCCUGUUUUAAUUUUUGGUUUGGAAAUUUAUGCCUAUUGUUGUUGGUGCGGACAAAGAACCAUUUGUGGAUGAUCAUUCAAAUUUUCCGGGGACAAAGUCCCAUCUUGAAGUACUGACACUCAGUUCCUAGCUCGUGAUUAGACUUAUCAAAUCUUCAACAGUAGCCGUGGUGCUGACGCUCAGUUCUCAACUCACGUUAGACUUAUCAGAUCUUCAGCAGUAAUAGUGGUGAGUCCUCAUACUUCGAGGAUAGGCUUAUUUUAUUUCAUGUCUCAGUUUAGUAGUUAGUUGGAGUUAGUUGGGGCUUGUCCCAUCAACUCACAUUCAUUCAAUUUAAGAGGCUUAUCAGACAUUAGAAUUAGUUAUUCAGUAUUCAGAAAUUAUAAUUUGUUAUCUAUUUUAUCAGUAUUUUAUCAGAUUCAAUCAAUUAUUUCUAU